rnacentral:rRNA from 1 species
GCGGUGGAGCAUGUGGUUUAAUUCGAAGCAACGCGAAGAACCUUACCAGGGCUUGACAUCCCCUGACCGCGUAUGAAAGUACGUUUUCACCUCGGGUGACAGGGAGACAGGUGGUGCAUGGUUGUCGUCAGCUCGUGUCGUGAGAUGUUGGGUUAAGUCCCGCAACGAGCGCAACCCCUACGUUUAGUUGCUAACGCGUGAAGGCGAGCACUCUAGACGAACUGCCGUUGACAAAACGGAGGAAGGUGGGGAUGACGUCAAAUCAUCAUGCCCCUUAUGUUCUGGGCUACACACGUGCUACAAUGGCCGGUACAGACGGACGCAAAGCCGCGAGGUGGAGCAAAUCCUAAAAAGCCGGUCUCAGUUCGGAUUGCAGGCUGCAAUUCGCCUGCAUGAAGUCGGGAUCGCUAGUAAUCGCAGGUCAGCAUACUGCGGUGAAUACGUUCCCGGGCCUU